AGCAGCCGCGGUAAUUCCAGCUCCAAUAGCGUAUAUUAAAGUUGUUGCAGUUAAAAAGCUCGUAGUUGAAUUUCGGGACUAAUAUGUCGGUCGUACUUUGUACGUACUAGCAUUAUUGGUUUCUCCCUUCUGACGAACCACGAUGUCAUUAAUUUGGUGUCGUGGGAAAUCAGGACUGUUACUUUGAAAAAUUAGAGUGUUUAAAGCAAGCUCGCGCUUGAAUACAUUAGCAUGGAAUAAUGAAAUAGGACGUUUGAUUCUAUUUUGUUGGUUUCUAGGAUCGACGUAAUGAUUAAUAGGGAUAGUUGGGGGCAUUAGUAUUCAAUUGUCAGAGGUGAAAUUCUUGGAUUUAUUGAAGACUAACUACUGCGAAAGCAUUUGCCAAGGAUGUUUUCAUUAAUCAAGAACGAAAGUUAGGGGAUCGAAGACGAUCAGAUACCGUCGUAGUCUUAACCAUAAACUAUGCCGACUAGGGAUCGGAUGAUGUUAAUUUUUAAUGACUCAUUCGGCGCCUUAAC
rnacentral:rRNA from 1 species